GACGGAGGAUGCAAGCGUUAUCCGGAAUUAUUGGGCGUAAAGCGUCCGCAGGUGGCUGUUCAAGUCUGCUGUCAAAGCGCAGAGCUUAACUCUGUACAGGCGGUGGAAACUGAAGAGCUAGAGUAUGGUAGGGGUAGAGGGAAUUCCCGGUGUAGCGGUGAAAUGCGUAGAUAUCAGGAAGAACACCUAUGGCGAAGGCAGCUCUCUGGGACGGUACUGACGCUGAGACGCGAAAGCGUGGGGAGCGAACAGG
rnacentral:rRNA from 1 species